GUUCCCGACCCAUGCGUUGAUUCACAGAUGAUGGCAUGGGGUGCGACCCC
rnacentral:rRNA from 1 species